rnacentral:rRNA from 1 species
GAUGAACGCUGGCGGCGUGCCUAAUACAUGCAAGUCGAGCGAACAGACGAGGAGCUUGCUCCUCUGACGUCAGCGGCGGACGGGUGAGUAACACGUGGAUAACCUACCUAUAAGACUGGGAUAACUUCGGGAAACCGGAGCUAAUACCGGAUAAUAUAUUGAACCGCAUGGUUCAAUAGUGAAAGACGGUUUUGCUGUCACUUAUAGAUGGAUCCGCGCCGCAUUAGCUAGUUGGUAAGGUAACGGCUUACCAAGGCAACGAUGCGUAGCCGACCUGAGAGGGUGAUCGGCCACACUGGAACUGAGACACGGUCCAGACUCCUACGGGAGGCAGCAGUAGGGAAUCUUCCGCAAAGGGCGAAAGCUUGACGGAGCAACGCCGCGUGAGUGAUGAAGGUCUUCGGAUCGUAAAACUCUGUUAUUAGGGAAGAACAAAUGUGUAAGUAACUAUGCACGUCUUGACGGUACCUAAUCAGAAAGCCACGGCUAACUACGUG